rnacentral:lncRNA from 1 species
CUGUGAGUGCAUUUGUCCCCUCAUCCUGAACCCUGUCUGUGACACUGUCGGUAACUACUACGACAAUGUAUGCCAGUUGAACUGCGUUGAGAAUGCCGUCCUGGCUUCAGAGACCACCUACAGCGUCAGUGGCAACUCUUGUGUUGCUGCCAAAUAGAUAACCUUCAUCUUUGACCACAUGGAACGUCCCCGACCGAAGUACAUGUUUUCAAUAAAAUAUGGAAUC